AAGCUCGUAGUUGAAUUUCGGGAUUAGUACGCUGGUCGUGCCUUAGGUACGUACUGGUGUUACUGGUUCCUACCCUCUGACGAACCAUCAUGUCAUUAAUUUGGUGUGGUAGGGAAUCAGGACUGUUACUUUGAAAAAAUUAGAGUGUUUAAAGCAGGCUCGCGCUUGAAUACAUUAGCAUGGAAUAAUGAAAUAGGACGUUGAUCCUAUUUUGUUGGUUUCUAGGAUUGACGUAAUGAUUAAUAGGGAUAGUUGGG
rnacentral:rRNA from 1 species